rnacentral:rRNA from 1 species
UACGGGGGGGGCAAGCGUUGUUCGGAAUUACUGGGCGUAAAGGGCGCGUAGGCGGUUGGAUAAGUCAGCUGUGAAAACCACGGGCUUAACUCGUGGCCUGCAGUUGAGACUGUCUGGCUUGAGUGUGGGAGAGGAGAGUGGAAUUCCUGGUGUAGCGGUGAAAUGCGUAGAUAUCAGGAGGAACACCGGUGGCGAAGGCGGCUCUCUGGACGAUGACUGACGCUGAGACGCGAAAGCGUGGGGAGCAAACAGG